ensembl:lncRNA
GUUUGAGCCCUGCCCCAACUGGAGGCAGGAGCUGCCUUUUCUGAGCAGUUGAGAUGUACCUUAAGAUGAUCAGCACAGUCAACAGCAAUUCUUGCACACUUUUUGGCAUUCAUUAAAAAAAUUUCUUGAAGGUUUUUGAAAUUUGCCUUCUUUGUGAUGGCUCAUGAAGCGUAACUUCCACCCAAGCUCCCACAAGCACUUGGCAGCCUGGCAAGGACACCUAUGAAGUACCAAUGCUUUAGCCAUGUGAGCAGAAGAGAAAGAUGGAUUUCACUAGAAAGCUCCAAACAGGUGAACAGCUUCAAGAAGUUACUUGCUCACCACCAACAGGAAAUGCUCUGGCUGGAUGUUCAGUGCUUGGUGUGCCCAUUUCUGCCAGAGCAACAUGGAACUGGAGGUGUCCAGCUGAAACAUUUGUGUAUGUCUGUGUACAGCUCCAGUGGGAAUUUGUGCAUGUCUGUGUACAACUGCAAUGGGAAUUUCAGCUCCAAAGCUCCUGCUCUGCUGGGCUCCCUUCACCUGUACUCUCUUCAUCAGUAAGUGAUUUGAUAUUUUGAAAUCCUGUUCAGAAAUUUGAUAUCCUACUAGAACUGUCAGUACUAAAACCAUUCUUCUAAACAACAAUCAGAAAAUAUAAUUUAUACUGGUCUUUAUAAAUUGUCCCCAGAUGUCACUCCUGAGUCAGACAGAAACAUUUUAGAAACAAAUCUGAGAAUUGGUUUUCCUUUUCUCUUUUUUCUUCCUGUUGUUUCUGCAGUUGAUACUUCUCUUUUUGCAUUUUUUCCCAUUGCUCUCUGUAAGGAUGCCAACUCCAGCAGGCCAACUUAACUUGUCUGAAUUAUUCUUAGAGGAUAUCUUGGGGAGUCUUUGAAUUUCAGUCACAGUAAUACUUCCCUGGCAAUACUUUGUGAUUUAUGGUUAAAUGAUUAUUGUAGUUGAUAAAUCCUUUAUUAUUUUGUCCAACUCUGCUAAUUUCUGCCAUCCUUUUGAAGCAAAAUCAAAUUAAAAGAAGAGAGCAUUUAUUAGCAUUAAUGUGUAAUUGUUUGGAAAGCCAGUGCAAACUCUGUAAAUCCCAUAACUGAACAAGAGCUGAAAUGUAACUUUACUGGUAAGUAAGGCAUAUAUUUAUUAUUCCCUAAAGAAUAAUAUUCCCUAAAGGUAAAUAUCACUGUAGGAGAACCAUCAUUCCAUACCAUCAUCUCAUUUUUAUGUGUGUUUGCAUAGUCUACAUAUAGCAAAUUAAGGUUCUGCUUAGAGGAUUUAAUGUGUGUUGUACAAGGCAGUGGAACAAUUAUUAACAUAACAUAACUACAGUUUCUAAGUAACAAUAUCCUUAAUGUCACUUAAUGAAUUUAUUCUUAAUGCUUCUGGGUUUUGUUUCAUUUGUUGGCUAAAUCCAAUAUUUUACUUUAUAAACAGCUUCUCCAUGCAGGUACAAAGCAUCUUAUAUUAAAGCACACUUCUCCCAAAAAAAUGCUUAAAGGGUUGUUUGUUUGGCUUUUUUUUUUUUUAAUGUUAGCUCCUUGCUAUCAAAAUUACUCAAAACUGAAAGUUGCACAAAAACCCUGUUAAGCUAGAAAAUGUCUUUCUUACUCCUGGACAUAGGUUUUGAAAUAAUGUGUGCUUUAGAUGUGUAGUGGGAUCUGUCAGUGGGAUCUAUUGCUUAUCAAGAUCAAUUGAUUACAUGCUUGCUUUAUGCCCUUGAGGAGAGGAACUUCUGAAUGUUAGCAUGUGCAGAAAACAAGGGCAGCAGGCCAUGACACCCAUAAUUCCUCACAGUUUUUUGAACCAUUUGUUGCCUGUGUUUUGUCAUUGCAUACAUCACUGGCACUGUGUACAGCUAAGGGAAAAGGGCUGGGACUUGAGUGGUGGCUGCUUAAAGGAAUGACACAGUAGAGACCCUUUACUGUCAUUGCUCACCAGUUUCCAAUGUGUGAAAAAUGUAUUGCUUAAUUAGCAAGGAUCUGUGGUUUGGGGCACAACUGUCAAAAAAAUUAUUUUAUCCUUAGAGGCUGUAAGCUUUGGGAAAUAGUGGUCCAACUGCAGAGGGAGAAUGAUUGCUGUAAGAGACAGCAUCAUUCUCCAGAGCUCUGAUGAAAUGAGCUGUACUGUGCCUUUUACUUGGGGGGAAGUUUCCUAGAGUUUGACUGAAAACAUGAGACUACUUUGUAUUUACUUUGUGUCUUACAAGAAAUAUGUUUGAACUCUAACCAGCCAUAUAGGAAAACUUUCUGGCCAACUGGGAGAGAAAACAUUUCUGCCACAAUAUCUUAUUAUCCUAUAUAUACAGUCUCAAAUAAUUAGGCAUAAAUGAAUUUCUACUGUACUUAGAGUUUGACGGGACUUUUCAAAUAAAGACAUUGGUGCAUUAGUUCA